rnacentral:rRNA from 1 species
GACGGAGGAUGCAAGCGUUAUCCGGAUUCACUGGGUUUAAAGGGCGCGUAGGCGGUCAGCACAAGUCAGUUGUGAAAUCUCCGAGCUUAACUCGGAAAGGUCAACUGAUACUGUGCGACUAGAGUGCGGAAGGGGCAACUGGAAUUCUUGGUGUAGCGGUGAAAUGCGUAGAUAUCAAGAGGAACACCUGCGGCGAAGGCGGGUUGCUGGGCCGACACUGACGCUGAGGCGCGAAAGCUAGGGGAGCGAACGGG